rnacentral:rRNA from 1 species
UACGUAGGGGGCAAGCGUUGUCCGGAAUCAUUGGGCGUAAAGCGCGUGUAGGCGGUUUUGUAAGUCUGCUGUGAAAGUCGGAGGCUCAACCUUCGAAUGCCAGUGGAUACUGCGAGACUUGAGUACGGAAGAGGAGAGUGGAAUUCCUGGUGUAGCGGUGAAAUGCGCAGAUAUCAGGAGGAACACCAACGGCGAAGGCAGCUCUCUGGGACGUUACUGACGCUGAGACGCGAAAGCGUGGGGAGCAAACAGGAUUAGAAACCCCUGUAGU